GGAUUCUGAGCAUUUGUAGCAAAAUCGCUGGGAUCUGGAGAGGAAGACUCAGUCCAGAAUCCUCCCAGGGCCUUGAAAGUCCAUCUCUGACCCAAAACAAUCCAAGGAGGUAGAAGACAUCGUAGAAGGAGUGAAAGAAGAAAAGAAGACUUAGAAACAUAGCUCAAAGUGAACACUGCUUCUCUUAGUUUCCUGGAUUUCUUCUGGACAUUUCCUCAAGAUGAAACUUCAGACACUUUGGAGUUUUUUUUGAAGACCACCAUAAAGAAAGUGCAUUUCAAUUGAAAAAUUUGGAUGGGAUCAAAAAUGAAUCUCAUUGAACAUUCCCAUUUACCUACCACAGAUGAAUUUUCUUUUUCUGAAAAUUUAUUUGAUUUCCUGGGUUGGUUCCAAUCUCUGCCAUCUACUACCCUGUGGUCUUGGACAAAUUCCUUAACUUUGCACAAGUUACUUGCCUUAUUUAAAUAAGGUGAUAAGAAGAAUGCCUGGCACAUCACAAGUACUCUAUUUGCCACUAAAAUUCACUCUCACAACACACCUAUAAGGGCUUCUCAGACUCCCCUGGAGUCCAUCCAUGUGUUCUCAUUUAAGAACUCGUCCCUAAACUUCCAUGGAGAACCGUCACAAAGGAAUCCUAAUUCUCAUACUCUUUGAUAGGCUAAUUCCAAAAUAAAGAUUCCUAAAUCUAAAUUUUAAUAUGUAUUUUCCCUUUUAAAUUGUAUCAAAAUAGAAAUAAAUUUACCUUUUCAGAAAGCAUACUCUAAAUU
rnacentral:lncRNA from 10 species